rfam:Bacillus vireti LMG 21834 contig177, whole genome shotgun sequence.
UAUGCCUUUAAUUCGGUCCCGUGAGGCUGAGAAGGAAACGGUUAAAGAUUGUAGGCGGACUAUGCCUAUAUCUUAAAAUUAACAUGUCCGCCUCUCGCCAAAACCGGUGAGAGGUUUUUUAUU